rnacentral:sRNA from 1 species
ACAGAUUACGAGAGUUGUUACAUAGACAAUUUUAUUAUGCAUAAUUUCUUUCCCUUAUUAGAUCCACGAUAUACGACACCUCAUUCUUCUUCUCCAUGCGCUUGAUGGAUACCAAAAAUAUCUUCUCUGCGUAUAAUCCUGGCGAACGGCUAUAAUUGUACAUCGUUGUAGAUCUCCUGCACACUUGCCUCAAUUAAUCUGCAAAUCUAUUAAUAAAUUGCAGUAGCUGGGAUUCAAACUCCAAACCUCUUAGUAUAUAAGUAUUAAUGAACCCUUGAUCAACCAUUGAACCAAGGAGGCUUUCUGGGUCGUUAAGUUAAGAGACAAAAUUUAAUAAAUAAUUAACUUAGAGACAAUUAGUUUUUUU